CCCAGCGCCUGCCUGAAAGGACUCUGACAAAUGGCAGCAGCUGGAGAACAGGUUCGGCUGCCUCCAGCUCCCCUGGGCAGCGCCAGGACCUGCGGGCUGUGGGUGCGGAAAGCACACUAGCUGCGUGCUGUUUGCUCAGCCAUAACCUUCCUGAAGCACAUGUCUGUUGGUGAGAACUCGGCCUGAAAAAGUCAACAGAAGGCUUCUGGCUGCUUCUCAGGCUGCUGAUCCCUUAAUGCAGAUCCAGAACUUCCUGUCCUCGGUGUAGCGAUUUCACAGCACAGGGCGUCCUGGCUGGGCCUCCCCCACCCGCAGGCCUGCGGUCACGGCUCGUGCUGGUUGUCUGGCCUUCCUCGAGGGAGGGCUCUUGGAAACAUAUUUCUAGAAGGUGGCCUCCUCCAGCUCCUGCCCUUCCCCACCUGGCUGCAGCAUCCUGGGGCUCAGGCCAGAAGCCACACGUGGAUGUUCCGCGUGGACACACGGGUGCAGAUGCUCUGAUUGAAGUGGCUAGGGCACUCCCGCUUUGAGCAAGUGUAUGAAUGGAGGAAGUUUUCUUUGUCUUGGAGAAAAGCCUUUCGUGAUGAAGACAAAUGGUUAAAUGAAAAGCCCGUGUUGGGCUUUGCUGAUAGAAGGUUUGAGGAAAUGAUUUGUUGGGGCCGAGAAGUGAAUAGAUGAAAUGGGAGCCCUCAGCGAUCACCUGCUUCAAUCCUUCAUGUUACACGCAAGCACAUGCAAGUUUCUGGGCCAGCGAUCAAAACCCACGUUGGAUCCAUAACCUACUUCACCAUGAGGGAACUCCUAAGGCAGAUCUUUAAAAGCAAUCUAUUUCUUUGAGGGCCUGGGGAGAAUUUCCUGAACUUCGUGGGGAUAAUUGCCAAACUCUCAUGUCCCAAGAGUAGAAAACUCUGGGGAAAACCAGUGGUCUGGGGUAUAAGGAUAAUCAUAGCUCACUUUUACAGAACACUUGCUAAAUGCUGGGGGCAACUAAAGGGCAUUUUCUCAUCUAACCCUCACACCAUCUGAGGGCACAGGUACCCUUAUUAUCCACAUUUUGCACGUAAAGAAAGGGAGUCUUGGAGAACCAGGUAAACUGCCCAAUCUCAUCCAGCCAGUUAGAAGCAGAUCUGAGAGCCGAGCCUCCUUAAAACCCGUCCGCAGGCAGGGGACACACCAAAAGGAGGCUGGAGGGCUUUGCAGGGGGAAUUGCUUUUCCCGAUGUUCCUAGAAAUGGGUCACAAAAGGCUGAAAGCCAGUUAACCUUGAUUUCAAAUUUAGGAGUAGUUAGUUUUCUCAACAUUUGACUCAGAAAGAAACACCGCCCCUCUUCCUCCUUGAAGUAAUUUAAUUUUCACAUUAUAUUUGAAAGGAAGUCCUCUAUUUACCUAAUGCUUUCCUGUUCAGUCCUUUCAGGCUAUGAAUCUUGCAUAUUUUAUACACACAAAGGUGACUUUUCCUUCCUUGAGUGACCAACGCUUAUCAGCCCAAGCAACUGAUACUGAGCUCAUAAAUAUGUCAGUCCCAGCUCAGUCUCGGCCCUUCUCCGCUCUGAGCGUAAUUCUCCUAUGACAGUUCUCCUCCUCCUCUCUUUUCCUAACCCCGUGGAGAUUGCACUUGUGUCUCCCAAGCACCCUCGAAGUCUGUUUUGGUUUCACUCCCCAUCGGCAAGUAUAAAAAUGACUGACUGUUGCUUACACACCAAAGCCAUUUCAGCAGAAGCCUGCAGACAAUAUAAAACAAGGCCCGUGGAGCCAGCGCCUUCCGAUUCCAAUUAAAUAUUUCCUGUGAGUCGUGCCAAUUGUGCAUCUUGGAAGAACAUUUGAAAGCAGAAGUUUGAACUCACGGGGACCCCAUUGCCUUAAAAACCUGUUUCCUGUUUGACAAGAUUUUACUAGCAGGAGCAAAGUAGCACAUUCAGCAACAAAAGACAUUGUCAAUGGUUCAGAGAUGCAAAGGCAAUGAUUUCCUCUCACAGUGCCCACCAGCACGGCCCCGAUGAGUUGCAAAUUUCCCUCUUCCAGAUAAAUCUCUCUGAACAUUAGACCCCUAUUGCCAGGGACCCUAAUGACAUUUCCAGGAUUACAGGAAAUAUUUGCUUAUCUCACUUCUGUCCAUCCUACCCUACGCUGUCUUAUAAAGUUUGAAAAGUUUUCAAGACAACCUCACAGUGGUCAUUGUUUCCCUUGUACAGGUGAGAAAAAUAAGGCUCAGGGUUGAUCCAUUACUAAGGUUUGUAUGUGGUUGUCUAGGCUGCCAGGGACUCAGUGUUCCAGGUGUCACACGUGUCCUGACUUUGCACAAGUUACUAACACGCUUGCCGUCUCUUCUUCCCAAUCCCUAAGACAGGGGUAAAUGGCAGCAGGAAUUUGACAUUAUGGAUUGGAAAGACCUUUAAGUUGAUUGUAAGAAAGGAACCAUGAUAAUCACAAAGUAUUGUUAUUAUUACUUUAAACAUCAUCACUAGAGUUCCCUGGUAGCUCAGCAGGUCAAGGAUCUGGUGUUGUCAUUUUUGUGGCUCAAGUUGCUUCUGUUACCCAGGUUGGAUCCCUGGCUGAGGAACUCUUGCAUGCCACAAGUGCAGCCUAUAUAUGUAUAUAUA